rnacentral:pre_miRNA from 1 species
AAAAAAACAAACCUUAUAUUUUCGUGUCCAACUUUGACUGUCCGUCUUGUAUGAAAUUUUUUUAUAAUUCUUUUAAAUAAAAAAAUAUUAUUAAUACUUUAUGUGUGACUUGUCUUUUUAAUUUUUUUCAUAUUUUUUUAAAAUAAGACGGACGGUCAAACGUUGGGCAUGGAAAUC